rnacentral:rRNA from 1 species
GAUGAACGCUGGCGGCGUGCUUAACACAUGCAAGUCGAACGGAAAGGCUCCUGCUUGCAGGGGUACUCGAGUGGCGAACGGGUGAGUAACACGUGGGUGAUCUGCCCUGCACUUCGGGAUAAGCCUGGGAAACUGGGUCUAAUACCGGAUAGGACGAUGGUUUGGAUGCCAUUGUGGAAAGUUUUUCGGUGUGGGAUGAGCUCGCGGCUUAUCAGCUUGUUGGUGGGGUAAUGGCCUACCAAGGCGUCGACGGGUAGCCGGCCUGAGAGGGUGUACGGCCACAUUGGGACUGAGAUACGGCCCAGACUCCUACGGGAGGCAGCAGGGGGGAAUAUUGCACAAUGGGCGCAAGCCUGAUGCAGCGACGCCGCGUGGGGGAUGACGGCUUUCGGGUUGUAAACUCCUUUCGUCAGGGACGAAGCGAAAGUGACGGUACCUGGAUAAGAAGCACCGGCUAACUACGUG